rnacentral:misc_RNA from 1 species
GGAAGGAUCAUUAACAAAUCCAAUAGAUUUGGCAGCGGGGUGAAAGCUUUGCCUGCCAAAAAUAUUAAUCCUUGGGAGGCGCCGACUGGAUAGUUGGCCAGUCCCAGCGAUAAAAUAAAUGUGUGUAGUGUUGACAGUGUGUGUGCAAUAAAUUAAUUGACAACUUUUAACAAUGGAUCUCUAGGCUCUUGCAGCGAUGAAGAACGCAGUAAAGUGCGAAAAGUGAUGCGAUUUGCAUGAAUCUGUGAGUCAUCAAGUUUUUGAACGCAAUUGGCACUUUUAUGAAAGUAAAAGUAUGUCUGUUUGAGAAUCAUAAAAACGAUCAACUCUAGUUAGAGUUGGCAUUGGCCUUGCAGUUUGUACAAGCUGCUUAGCCUGAAUGCAUAAAGCUGAUGAGCUUUCAGCAGUGCUCAAUGUGUGCUAGCGGGACAGUUGUUUCGAUGUCACAUUGCAGGAUUGUUGCAAAGGUCUACCCGACAGCUAGUUUUGUGGAUGUAGGUAAGUGGGCUGAGUUUUAGUAGCGGGAUGGCUGUUAUAGUACAUACAUGGUAUUUAUUAUAAUAGUCAAUCGCAAACUAAACACAACCCACCCCACCCCACCCCACACCCUAUCUUAUUGAUCUCAAAUCAGACAAGAUUACCCGCUGAACUUAAGCAUAUCAAUAAGCGGAGGAAAAGAAACUAACAAGGAUUCCCCUAGUAACGGCGAGUGAAGCUGGAAGAGCUCAAAUUUAAAAUCUGGCGUAAAAGCCCGAAUUGUAAUCUAAAGAGGCGUUAUCGGACGCAAGUUUGUUGCACAAGUUCCUUGGAAUAGGACAUCACAGAGGGUGAGAAUCCCGUCUGGGCAAUGGACAAGCGGACAUAUGAGACGUUUUCAAAGAGUCGAGUUGUUUGGGAUUGCAGCUCAAAAUGGGAGGUAAAUUUCUUCUAAGGCUAAAUAAUGGCAAGAGACCGAUAGCAAACAAGUACCGUGAGGGAAAGAUGAAAAGCACCUUGAAAAGGGAGUUAAAAGCGCGUGAAAUUGUUAAAAGGGAAACGAUUGAAGCCAGUAGGGCCUGAUGGAGUUCAGCGACGUGUAUUUACCAAUGCACUUAAUAUACAGAGUGCUUUAUUGUGCCUGUAGCUUUGUGCAUACAUACACGUUGUGUAUUCUCUUUUGGGCUAGUCAGUGUCAAUUUGAGUUGGUGGAAAAAGACUUUGGGAAUGUGUCCAUCUUUUGAUGGAUUUAUAGACCAUUGUAGAUACACUGAAUUGGAUUGGAAUAGACAGUGGCUAGCAGAGAUACGGAUCUGCGACUGUGGACACUUGAGAAUCAAUAGAGUCUUGAGUGGCAUCUAGUUGGGUGAAAGUGUCUUUGAUGCUACGGUGAGUACUGACGAAAUGGCUUUAAACGACCCGUCUUGAAACACGGACCAAGGAGUCUAACAUAUAUGCGAGUAUUUGGGUGGCAAACCCGGAUGCGCAAUGAAAGUAAGUACGAAUGGGAUCCCCUUGCGGGCGCACCAUUGACCGAUCUUGAUAUCUCUUGAUAGAUUCGAGUUAGAGCAUAUCUGUUGGGACCCGAAAGAUGGUGAACUAUGCCUGGAUAGGAUGAAGCCAGAGGAAACUCUGGUGGAGGUCCGAAGCCGUUCUGACGUGCAAAUCGAUGGUCAAAUCUGGGUAUAGGGGCGAAAGACUAAUCGAACCAUCUAAUAGCUGGUUCCCUC